AGCCUAUAAUAAAAUAAUUUCACCAUGGCAAAGCUAUGUUUGUUUAAUGUAAAAGUAUUUAUAAAAAGGUGUAUUUUGAACUCUUAUACCUUAUUUGCCUAUAGGUAUCUGACCACUUGUAUAAGGAUCUUAGACUAACCUUCCAAAGAAUCACUUCCAGGCUUCCCUCUCUCUCUGCUUGUCUUCCUUUUAGAGCUCAAUGAGACCUCACAGAUCCUGGCAAAUCUUACUUACUGGAAAUGAAGUAACAUUUCAAGUAUUUUUGUGCUUUGUUCUCUUCUGGUGUUUUAUCCUGUUCAUCACCAGAAAUAGUCUCUUUAACAAGAAACUCUUCCCUAGACCUUGAAGAUAAGAUCUGAUUCAGUAAGGUGGAGUGGCAGGCGUGCAGAGAAUCAAAUAGUCCAUCUCGAGAUCAUGCAAAGACUCUGGAAAUACAAUUCCAGUGAGUCCUGGCUAUAACACUUUUGAUGCCCAUAUCACUAGCUGCAGUCCUACAAGCACCAAAGGUAAGAAAUCAAGUCCUUAUAUACAUUAUAUGCAUUAUAGUAUAUAAUUAAAUCCAUUUGAA
rnacentral:lncRNA from 13 species